UGGGGAAUAUUGCACAAUGGGCGCAAGCCUGAUGCAGCGACGCCGCGUGAGGGAUGACGGCCUUCGGGUUGUGAAAUCCUCUUUCAGUAGGGAAGUAAGCGAAAGUGACGGAUACCUGCAGAAGAAGCGCCGGCUAACUACGUGCCAGCAGCCGCGGUAAUACGUAGGGCGCAAGCGUUAUCCGGAAUUAUUGGGCGUAAAGAGCUCGUAGGCGGUUUGUCGCGUCUGCCGUGAAAGUCCGGGGCUCAACUCCGGAUCUGCGGUGGGUACGGGCAGACUAGAGUGAUGUAGGGGAGACUGGAAUUCCUGGUGUA
rnacentral:rRNA from 1 species